CUCAUUCGAAUUUCCCCCCUCCCCCAUCCCCGCACGUUUCCCAACCCCCCUCCCUCAGCGUUCGCGUUCUCCUUCCGGGCUUCAUCCCUCCGCCCGCAUUCUUCAUGCUGCCAUUCUCACUGCCCGUCUGGGGCCGCAGACAAGGUUGAAAUAAUGUGAUGGGCAAUGAAGAAGAUGGAAAGCCACCCAGGCCUUCUACCUCAAUUUCACCAACUCAGCCAUGCAUGGAGAAAAGAAUUAUUUAGCAAUAAGAAUAAAGGCAAUGAUGGGUCUCGACAGUUUACAUCCAAAUUUGACGAAAGAUCCAACCAGAGAUUGCCCAUGGAAGAGAACAGUUCCAAUAGUCUAGACUCUCCAAAAAGUUUUGGGGACUUACAAUUUGUGUAUAUAAAUGGGUAAUUGUGUAUUUGUAAAUGGGUAAUUUCAGCCUACUAAUUGUGUAUGUGUUUUUAGGUAGUUUUUAACUAAUUGUGUAUUUGUAAAUGGGUAGCUUCUAGCAAUGUACUUUGAUUUGGUACAUGUACUGAUUUUGAUCAUCAUAUUAUGAGAGAGUAAGCAUG